rnacentral:rRNA from 1 species
GGGUGAUAAACUUCAUCUAAGGCUAAAUAUAUGUAUGAAUCCGAUAGCAAACAAGUACCGUGAGAGGAAAGUUGAAAAGAACUCUGAAGAGAGAGUUAAAUAGUACGUGAAACUGAAUGAGUGGAAGCGUAUAGAGUUGUCGAAAGAUGGUAAUAAUAAGUUCUGUACGAAUGUAACAGUUUAUAAAAUGUUUUCGAAAGGAUCAUUUUAUAAAUGUAGUUUAUUUUUAUGGAAUGCACUUGUUGCCAUUGUGCUGAUACAAUUGAUUGAGAUUUUUGAAAUUAUAUUAGAGGGCAUUCUUCGGAAUGUAUCCUGGUAUAAUGGAUAAAAUUUUUGGUUAAUUGUCCUUGUAAUGAUUAAAGGAAAGAAUAAAUUUUGCGGCAUUUAAGAGUUAACGUUUACGUUGGCUUUUUUAAUCUGUAAAAUUUUAUUUUGUACGAUAGUCAUUAUAUAUCAGUAUAAAAGACAAUCACCUAUAUGUCCCGUCUUGAAACACGGACCAAGGAGUUUAUUGUAUGUGCGAGUCAUUAAGUGAUCAAAACUUAUUGGCGUAAUGAAAGUAAAGUAUUCUUUAUGAAUAUGAUAUAUGAUUGUUUUUCGUUUACGAAAAGCAAGUAGUAUAGUCCCAUCUAAUUUGCUUGCAAAUGGGUGGAGAUAGAGCAUAUGCAAUGAGACCCGAAAGAUGGUGAACUAUGCCUGAG